rnacentral:rRNA from 1 species
UACGGAGGGUGCAAGCGUUAUCCGGAUUCACUGGGUUUAAAGGGUGCGUAGGUGGGCAGGUAAGUCAGUGGUGAAAUCUCCGGGCUUAACCCGGAACUGCCGUUGAUACUAUUUGUCUUGAAUGUCGUGGAGGUGAGCGGAAUAUGUCAUGUAGCGGUGAAAUGCUUAGAGAUGACAUAGAACACCGAUUGCGAAGGCAGCUCACUACGCGAAUAUUGACGCUGAGGCACGAAAGCGUGGGGAGCAAACAGG